CCCGAAACCAGGUGAGCUACCCCGAGACAGCCUAUGUUAAUUUAGGGCUAACCCGUCUCUGUGGCAAAAGAGUGGGAAGAGCUCCGGGUAGAAGUGACAGACCUACCGAACCUGGUGAUAGCUGGUUGCCUGAAAAAUGGAUAGAAGUUCAGCCUCGCAUCCCCCGAUCCAACAAAUAUAUCGUCAAGAUGCUCAGGGAGACAUGCGAGAGUUAGUUAAAAGGGGUACAGCCCUUUUAACAAAGGAUACAACCUUCACAGGAGGAUAAAGAUCAUAAUAUAUAAGAUAUACUGUUCUAGUGGGCCUGAAAGCAGCCACCUAAGCGGAAAGCGUUAAAGCUCGGACAGACAGAAGUUUAUUAUACUGAUAGGAAAUCUUAUUCCCCUAGCUGUAUCAGGCCAACCCAUGCCCCCAUGGAAGAGAUUAUGCUAAAAUGAGUAAUAAGAAGACACGCUCUUCUCCCGGCACACGUGUAAACCAGAUUGGACUAGCCACUGGAACUUAACGAACCCAACCCAAGAGGGCAGUGUGAUUAAUAGAAACCUCAAGAAGAACUCACAUCAACUGAUCGUUAACCCCACACUGGAGUGCUAUCUUCAAGGGAAAGACUAAAAGAGGAGGAAGGAACUCGGCAAACACAAGCCUCGCCUGUUUACCAAAAACAUCGCCUCCUGCAACUAGACUAAGUAUAGGAGGUCCAGCCUGCCCAGUGACUACGGGUUCAACGGCCGCGGUAUCUUGACCGUGCAAAGGUAGCGCAAUCACUUGUCUCUUAAAUAGAGACCUGUAUGAAUGGCUAGACGAGGGCUUAACUGUCUCCCCCCUUCAGUCAGUGAAAUUGAUCUAUCCGUGCAGAAGCGGGUAUAAAUAUACAAGACGAGAAGACCCUUUGGAGCUUAAGGUACAAAAUUCAACCACGUUAAACAACUCCAUAAAAGGCAAGAACUUAGUAGCAAUGAAAUUUUACCUUCGGUUGGGGCGACCGCGGAGGAAAAACAAGCCUCCGAGUGGACUGGGCCAAACCCCUGAAGCCAAGAGAAACAUCUAGAAGCCGCAGAAUAUCUGACCAAAAAUGAUCCGGCUAAAAGCCGAUCAACGAACCAAGUUACCCAAGGGAUAACAGCGCAAUCCCCUCCCAGAGCCCGUAUCGACGAGGGGGUUUACGACCUCGAUGUUGGAUCAGGACAUCCUAAUGGUGC
rnacentral:rRNA from 1 species